AUACGGAGGGUGCAAGCGUUAAUCGGAAUUACUGGGCGUAAAGCGUACGUAGGCGGUUGGUUAAGUUAGAUGUGAAAGCCCCGGGCUUAACCUGGGAACUGCAUUUAAAACUGGCGAACUAGAGUUGAGUAGAGGGGAGUGGAAUUUCAGGUGUAGCGGUGAAAUGCGUAGCGAUCUGAAGGAACACCAGUGGCGAAGGCGACUCCCUGGACUCGAACUGACGCUGAGGUACGAAAGCGUGGGUAGCAAACGGGAUUAGAAACCCUAGUAGUCC
rnacentral:rRNA from 1 species